CCUACGGGAGGCAGCAGUGGGGAAUCUUGGACAAUGGGCGCAAGCCUGAUCCAGCCAUGCCGCGUGAGUGAUGAAGGCCUUAGGGUCGUAAAGCUCUUUCGCCAGAGAUGAUAAUGACAGUAUCUGGUAAAGAAACCCCGGCUAACUCCGUGCCAGCAGCCGCGGUAAUACGGAGGGGGUUAGCGUUGUUCGGAAUUACUGGGCGUAAAGCGCGCGUAGGCGGAUUAGUAAGUUAGAGGUGAAAUCCCGGGGCUCAACCCCGGAACUGCCUUUAAUACUGCUAGUCUUGAGUUCGAGAGAGGUGAGUGGAAUUCCGAGUGUAGAGGUGAAAUUCGUAGAUAUUCGGAGGAACACCAGUGGCGAAGGCGGCUCACUGGCUCGAUACUGACGCUGAGGUGCGAAAGUGUGGGGAGCAAACAGGAUUAGAUACCCUGGUAGUCCACACCGUAAACGAUGAAUGCCAGUCGUCGGGUAGCAUGCUAUUCGGUGACACACCUAACGGAUUAAGCAUUCCGCCUGGGGAGUACGGUCGCAAGAUUAAAACUCAAAGGAAUUGACGGGG
rnacentral:rRNA from 1 species